GCAAGUCGAGCGGAAACGACACUAACAAUCCUUCGGGUGCGUUAAUGGGCGUCGAGCGGCGGACGGGUGAGUAAUGCCUAGGAAAUUGCCUUGAUGUGGGGGAUAACCAUUGGAAACGAUGGCUAAUACCGCAUAAUGCCUACGGGCCAAAGAGGGGGACCUUCGGGCCUCUCGCGUCAAGAUAUGCCUAGGUGGGAUUAGCUAGUUGGUGAGGUAAAGGCUCACCAAGGCGACGAUCUCUAGCUGGUCUGAGAGGAUGAUC
rnacentral:rRNA from 1 species